UACGUAGGGGGCAAGCGUUGUCCGGAAUCAUUGGGCGGAAAGCGCGUGUAGGCGGCCAGAAAAGUCCGCUGUGAAAACUCGAGGCUCAACUUCGAGCUGUCGGUGGAAACUUUCUGGCUAGAGUCCGGAAGAGGAGAAUGGAAUUCCUGGUGUAGCGGUGAAAUGCGCAGAUAUCAGGAAGAACACCCGUGGCGAAGGCGGUUCUCUGGGACGGUACUGACGCUGAGACGCGAAAGCGUGGGGAGCAAACAGG
rnacentral:rRNA from 1 species